GAUCUGGCUCAGGAUGAACGCUAGCGACAGGCUUAACACAUGCAAGUCGAGGGGCAUCAUGAGGUAGCAAUACCUUGAUGGCGGCCGGCGCACGGGUGAGUAACGCGUAUGCAACCUGCCCGAUACCGGGGUAGUAGCCCAUGGAAACGUGGAUUAACACCCCAUAGUACUUUUAUCCUGCCUGGGAUGGGAGUUAAAUGUUCAAGGUAUCGGAUGGGCAUGCGUCCUAUUAGUUAGUUGGCGGGG
rnacentral:rRNA from 1 species